AAACCCUCGGGAAGGACCCUGAUUGGUCUGAUAUGUCACAUGGCUAUCAGUGGCCCAAUCAGUGCCGCCACAGGGCUAGCGCUCUCCAAUUGGCCCCUUUUGGGUCAGCUGCCAGCCUCUUAGCCAAUCGCUGUGGUGAGGGAGGCGGAGUCAAUGGGGGUUCGGUACUUCCUGUCGGAAGCACAGGGCUGGUUCCGGCGCACCCUUGGGCUACGCAGAGGGCGUGGGAGUGAGCUGGGCUCCACCCUGGGCGGGCUGCCGCAGGGUCCUCGAGCUGGAAAAGGCUGCGUCCCUGACUUGCUUGCGGAAAGGGCACUGAGAACCGGAAAACCUGUGUGAUUUUAUACAAACGAAGGAGAAAGGGAGCCGCCCGAAAUGAGCCGCCUGUGCCUCUGACAGGCAGGCGCUUUGCCCGGUAGAGAGAGAGGACCAAGACGUUAAUCUGGGCUCUGUUUUCUUUCCAUUUUCACGACUUGGCUUUUUUCCGUUGACAAUUUUGGCGUAGUCGGCAGGAUCUCAGAGAAGACUCAGAGCCUCCUAAGGAGCAGCGCGGACUCGGCGCCAGAUACCGGCAUGGCCCUUUUAGGCCUCCGACUCAGAGCUUCUCCUUUGGUGGGAACUGGCACGGUCCCCCUUGACCCCCACGAGUAACAGAAGGUCCCGCGGGCCAGGACAAGUGGCGCCCAACGUGGGGCACGAGGCACGGACACUUGCCGGAUGACGCUGCGACCACUUCUUUAGCCGUGCACGCCAUAGAAGAGACCUUCCUUCUGCCGCUCACAGAAUCGACGGUCUGAAACACAAUGACUCCCCAAGAGAAGGCGCUGCCCCUCCUGUACCUGGUUCUGGUCACACUUAGAGGCAUCAACACAGCCAACAUCCAUCAGGUCUACAAUUAUACGUGGCAGGCUAGAACAAAGAGGCUCCAGAGAAGACCUCCAUGAAGAGUCUCCCAAUACACCCACGGAAGGUCUAAAUUUCUCAAA